AUGCUAGUUCAUCACACGAUGCAGACUGAUCUGAAUAACAUCAUGGCAUCAUCCUUCUUCUUUUUGAGAGUGGCACUCUUGCCCUGUCCCUGCCAUAAUCUUGGAGGACGGCCUCGACUCGUCGCUACUUUGGUGCAGACUAUGAGAGGCUUGCUUAAAGUCGCUGCUCCAGACGGGCCACGCUUAAGAUGGCUGGAGCCCGCGGCCAACAUGCUUAAGAAGUUCCUUCAUCUCGUGUUCCACUCACGUGGAUGGGUAAGAGCGGUCGACUGUCGAGCAGGGACAAUUGCCGUUAUCAGAGACACACAAGGAAGGGUUGUUGAGCUCCUCAGACCGUUCCAGGGUCAGAAGAUUACCACACUACCUGAGGCUCCUUGCCACAAUGCGGAUGAACUACUCACUGGUGGGCUGGUUCCAGGGGAGGCUGGCGCAUUCAAGUUCUUCCUUCUGUUCAGAGGCAUAGGACAGAUGGAGCAGCUGUCUCUGAAGACAUUCAGUUCUGUUACAGGACUGUGGGAGGUGCAGCAGAUGGGCUCCGCAUUUAUGCUAUCCACAACAUUGGCACCCAGGGCUGUGUUUGCAUCAGGGAGGCAUUAUAUCCUUGAUCAUCAGAAUAUGAAGCUAUUAGUUGUGGACAUCGAGAGCCAUAGGACAGAUACCAUUGCGCUCCCUGCAAACCAGGUCCAGAACAAACUGUGCGAUGAUAACAAUACACUUGCUGUCUCUAGAGGGGGGGAGCUCUACUGGGUUGUGCUGGAUGGAUUCUUCAUCAAGUUCUUGGUGUUGAGUGGUUCCGAGUGGGUCCCAAGAUGGAAGAGGAUGAUACCGGACCAUGUCCCUAGCAACACUCGUCCAGUCCAGCUUGGUGGGCAUGCUGCGAGCAGUGGGGUCGUUCUUAUGAGGUGCUCCCGCCAGGUUUUCGCCAUCGACGUCGAGGACGGCGGUCUGGUAAAGUUCAAGGACUGCCCGGAUGAUAGCGACACUUUUUUCUCAUUCGAGGUGAUUCGUCAUGUCAUUGCCGACCACGUGCGUCGGAUGUAA
rnacentral:rRNA from 1 species